rnacentral:rRNA from 1 species
GACGAACGCUGGCGGCGUGCUUAACACAUGCAAGUUGAACGGGCAUACAUGGAAGCUUGCUGAAGUGUAUGUUAGUAGCGGACGGGUGAGUAAUGCAUGAGAAGCUGCCAUUGGGAGGGGGACAACAGUUGGAAACGGCUGCUAAUACCCCGUAUGCCGGAAGGUGAAAGGGAGCGAUCCGCCCGAUGAGGUGCUCAUGUCCUAUCAGCUGGUUGGUGGGGUAACGGCCUACCAAGGCGACGACGGGUAGCCGGCCUGAGAGGGUGAACGGCCACACUGGAACUGAGAUACGGUCCAGACUCCUACGGGAGGCAGCAGUGAGGAAUAUUGGUCAAUGGGCGGAAGCCUGAACCAGCCAUGCCGCGUGCAGGAUGACGGCCCUACGGGUUGUAAACUGCUUUUCCCCGGGCGAAUAACCCCCUCGCGAGGGGGAGUGCCGGUACCGGGGAAGUAAGGAUCGGCGUAACUCCGUGCCACGCAGCCGCGGUAACGUGUAGUCGU